CCAGCUCCCCGAGUGGUGAGGACGAUUACUGGGCCUAAAGCGUCCGUAGCCGGUCUGACAAGUUCCCGUUAAAUCCAGCGGCCUAACCGUUGGGCCGCGGGAAAUACUGUUGGACUAGGAGGCGGAAGAGGCCGGCGGUACUUCUGGGGUAGGGGUGAAAUCCUAUAAUCCUAGAAGGACCACCAGUGGCGAAGGCGGCCGGCCAGAACGCGCUCGACGGUGAGGGACGAAAGCUGGGGGAGCGAACCGGAUUAGAUACCCGGGUAGUCCCAGCUGUAAACGAUGCGGGCUAAGUGUCAGAAUAGUUUUUAAGCUAUUCUGGUGCUGCAGGGAAACCGUUAAGCCCGCCGCCUGGGAAGUACGGCCGCAAGGUUGGAACUUAAAGGAAUUGGCGGGGGAGCACCACAAGGGGUGGAGCCUGCGGUUUAAUUGGAGUCAACGCCGGGAACCUUACCGGGGGAGACAGCUGAAUGAAGGUCAGAUUGAAGGUCUUACCUGACUAGCUGAGAGGAGGUGCAUGGCCGUCGCCAGUUCGUGCCGUGAGGUAUCCCGUUAAGUCGGGCAACGAGCGAGACCCUCGCCUCUAGUUGCUAACGAAUCCCCUACGGGAUUCGUGCACUCUAGAGGGACCGCCGCCGAUAAGGCGGAGGAAGGAGUGGGCCACGGCAGGUCAGUAUGCCCUGAAUCCCUCAGGCCACACGUGGGCUACAAUGGCAGGGACAAUGGGUCCCGACCCUGAAAAGGGAAGGUAAUCCCUAAACCCUGUCUCAGUUGGAAUCGAGGGCUGAAACCCGUCCUCGUGAACGUGGAAUCCCUAGUAAUCGCGUGUCAUCAUCGCGCGGUGAAUACGUCCCUGCUCCUGGCACACACC
rnacentral:rRNA from 1 species